AAUAACUAGCAUUCUUGGAGUUAAAUGCCUUUGUCAACUUUUUCAGGUACAGUUUCUUGGUGGUAUUGGUGGACAGGGCAUUUUUUCAUGUGUCAACGCAGUGCUCAGGAGAUUGAUGACAAAUUCUGCCGCAUCCCAAUACAGCUGGAGUGGGUUCAAAGGAAAGAAAACAUUUAUAAAUUUAAGGCUGUCGCAAGUUGUGCUACAUGUUGUACGGUUACAUGUGCCAGGGGCUACUGAAACUGAAGUGUCAGAGCAGAUACAAGCUUGGUUGAAGCAUGCCAAAACAAGACUUGUCAGAACAUCACAGAAGUUGCCAGUUUCUGACCAGUGUUGAAAAAAGAAGCAUAAGAACUUAAGUGAACUACUUUGUAAUGAAUUUUACCAGGACAUGAAUUAUUGUGCCAAAUGAAUGUUUAAAAAUACCUUGCAUAUAAUAUUUUGAUACUCUACUUUGAAAACUAUAAAAUACUUUGUAGAAAUA